rnacentral:rRNA from 1 species
GGGCCCGCACAAGCGGUGGAGCAUGUGGUUUAAUUCGAUGAUACGCGAGGAACCUUACCAGGGCUUAAAUGUAAGUUGCAUAAAUCAGAGAUGAUUUUUUCUUCGGACUACUUACAAGGUGCUGCAUGGUUGUCGUCAGCUCGUGCCGUGAGGUGUCAGGUUAAGUCCUAUAACGAGCGCAACCCCUGUCGUUAGUUGCCAUCAAGUAAUGUUGGGUACUCUAGCGAGACUGCCGGUGCAAACCGAGAGGAAGGUGGGGAUGACGUCAAAUCAUCACGGCCCUUACGUCCUGGGCUACACACGUGCUACAAUGGCCGGUACAGAGAGCAGCCACUACGCGAGUAGGAGCGAAUCUUCAAAACCGGUCUCAGUUCGGAUCGCAGUCUGCAACUCGACUGCGUGAAGCUGGAAUCGCUAGUAAUCGCAGGU